rnacentral:tRNA from 1 species
GGGCCGAUAGCUCAGAGGCAGAGCGCUGCAAUCGCAAUGCAGAGGUCGUGGGUUCAAAUCCCACUCGGUCCA